rnacentral:rRNA from 1 species
GACGAACGCUGGCGGCGUGCUUAACACAUGCAAGUCGAGCGGAAAGGCCCCUUCGGGGGUACUCGAGCGGCGAACGGGUGAGUAACACGUGAGUAACCUGCCCCAGGCUCUGGGAUAACC